rnacentral:rRNA from 1 species
AGAACGAACGCUGGCGGCAUGCCUAACACAUGCAAGUCGAACGGGACCUUCGGGUCUAGUGGCGCACGGGUGCGUAACGCGUGGGGAUCUGCCCUUAGGUACGGAAUAACUCAGGGAAACUUGAGCUAAUACCGUAUAAUGACUUCGGUCCAAAGAUUUAUCGCCUAGGGAUGAACCCGCGUAGGAUUAGCUUGUUGGUGAGGUAAAGGCUCACCAAGGCGACGAUCCUUAGCUGGUCUGAGAGGAUGAUCAGCCACACUGGGACUGAGACACGGCCCAGACUCCUACGGGAGGCAGCAGUGGGGAAUAUUGGACAAUGGGCGAAAGCCUGAUCCAGCAAUGCCGCGUGAGUGAUGAAGGCCUUAGGGUUGUAAAGCUCUUUGCCGGAUGAUAAUGACAGUACCGGAGAAUAAGCUCCGGCUAACUCCGUGCCAGCAGCCGC